AUUUCUUAUUAUAUCACCAUAUCCCAGGGAGUUAUCCUGGCCUGAGCUAAUCGGAGUGGAGUAUGUUUGUGUCCGGGAUCAGAACCCACGAACCCAGGCCACCGAAGCAGAACGUGCAGAACUUUAACUACGCGGCCACGGGGCCCGCCGCUCGGGUGAGCCCUUUAAAAGAGAGUCUGGGCCUUUGCUGAGGGGAGAGGUCUGACACAGCAGAAAUGCUCUCCUCUUGGCCUUGAAGAAGCAAACUGCCGUGAUGUGGAGAGGGCCACAUGGCGGGGACAGUGGGUGACCUCUAGGCCCUGAGGACCUCAAUUCUGCAGUCGUGAGGGCGUGGAUUCUGUCAACAGCCAGUGAGCCUGGAGGAGGAUCAGGCUUUCGGAUGAGAACUCGGCCCUGGCUGGCUGCAGCCGGAGACCCCAAGCGGAGGACCUAGCUAAGCUAUUCCCAGCCUGCUGACCUAUAGAAACUGAAAUGAGACGUGAGCGUUGUUUAGGCCACUAAGUUUGUGAUAAUUUGUUACAGAGCAAUAGAAAACCAA